AAGCUAGCUAAAAAGGUCAAAUUAGCUAUCAAGUGCAAGCUAGCUAGCUAAAUUGCCAUAAAUGUUUAAUGCUUUUCGACCUGUCCCCAAAUUAAUAUAAUUGGUUCAGAGUUUGUUUAGAUAUUUGAACCUGCGUGUUGUGAUCACAUUUGGUGUGGGGGGACAAAAUACAUUGAUGCACGCUGGCGCACAAUGGGGCACGCACGCAGCCGGUUUGGGUUCCGUGUUAUAAUAAAUGUUUCGACAAAGAGUCAAACAUGCCUUUUCCCUCGACGAAUAUGAAACCCACCAGAUCAGGUAUUUUAUCAUAUGGAACAUUAAUUGUAGAAUGCUGACACUUUUUUAAACAUUUAGUGUGUUUUUUCAGACCCAGAUACUAUAUUGAUAGUGUUUUUUAGUCAAGGAAUUAGGUUUAGGCUAAACCGGCUCCUAGAAUUUUGGGCAAAUUUGAUUUAUUCAAAGGCAUGCGUUGCACAUGCAUCUCGAGGUAGAAUACUUUCCUAAUAUAUUUUCUCUCAAAAGAUGCAUUCAAGAUGAAAGUUGUGCCACCAAUGAAAAAUGAAGAAGUAAGUAAACUUAGUUUGGUGUGACACAGAUAAAAAACAAUACUAUGUGAUGUGACAUGGAGCUGGUGGGUUGUAGGGGAAUAAAACUGCAAAGUGGAAAAGUCAAAGUGGACUCAGAGGCUAUGCAAAAAGAUAUGAAGCUGCAAGAAAACAAAACAACAUUUGAAACAUAACGCAAAGCCUUUCAAGAAUUGCAGGUAUGUACCACAGUACCAGUACAUGUUAAGGUAUAGGCCUAUAUUGAAAUGACAGAGUGAAAAUGCUACAGUCCUUUAAAAAAGUGUAUUAUUAUUGUUAUUGUAUUUUCCUUUAUCUUUCCGUUCGGAAAUGAAAGCCUCACUAUUAAACUAGAAGAUCAGAGCAGUGAGAAUGAUGAUCCGUUGAACAGGUAUGUAUUUGAUUACAACAUGAUACUUUCACUAUAGAUUGUAUGAUCAUUCUGCUUUUAUCUGGCGCGUUUAUUUCUCGAACAGAAACAAUGCAACAUGGAACAUAAGUCAUAUACUGAAAGAUACGUUUGAAAGAUCAGCGGAGAAAGUCCAUCUACAUAAGUAAAACAUGCCGUCUUGUCAGCCUGUGUACAUGCUAGUACCUAAAUGCAAAAUGAGGACAUGUUGUGGUCUACGUUGUCCUCAAACUAACCUAUGUUCUCUUAGAGAAAAAACCCAUCACAUGUUCAUGGACAGAAGAUCAAAUAUUUUUUGUCACAUGCGCCGAAUACAACUGGUGUAAACCUUACCGUGAAAUGCUUACUUACAAGCCCUUAGCCCUUAACCAACAAUGUCCGGGGGUACAGGUUAGUCGAGGUAGUAAUCGCUGUUCUGAUAUCCUGAAGCUCUUUUCGGUCUUAAGAGAAGGUAGCAGAAGCAUUAUGUACAAAAUAAGUUACAAACAAUGAGAAAAAACACACAUAAUAGCAUAAUCAGUUAGGAGCCGGUAAAACGGCAGCCAUCCCCUCCAGCAUCAUUAUCACAGUGAAAGUACUCAGGUGAAUAUUAAUAUUUCCUGUUCUUUUGAUUAUUUGUUAUCUACAUGAAUAAAUCACGUAUGGUUACAUGAUGCUAGUGAAAUGUGUUUUUUUAAUUAACUGUUAUAGAGGAUGAAUGCUGCCUUUAAGAGCCUACGUAUUCAAGCAGAAACUGACCGCCAUGAGAUGCUGAAAGAGCAACAUCAGGAAGCCCUACAAAGUUCCAAACAAGAACAAGAAUCCCUGUUAGAGUCUGCAAAGUGCCGAACAGCUCAAUAAAGACUUUGAAGAGAGAUUAAAGAAAAGAAAGACAGCCAGCUACAACUCCUUGAAGAUGAACUGGAUGUCAAAACAAAAUCCAUACAGUCACAAAGUUGUUGAGACCAGAACAUCAGAACUCACCACAGAGUUUAAGAUGAAACAUGCUGAAAUUCACUAAUUCAAGAAUAAAGUCUGCUGAAAACAAUUUACUGGAAAAGGCUCUUGAAAAGGCUGAGACGAUGCAAAACUAUUUGAAGGAAAAAGCCAAUAUGACUGAGAGGAAAAUACAAGAGAUUGAGGGGCAGUUAUCUGCUGCAAUGAGAAGAGAUGAAAAAUCCAUCAAGGAAAAAGAUAAUCUAAAGACAGACAUUGUACAACAUGAGGUGAAGUAUGAAGAGCUAUCAGCAAGUUUCAAUCAGCUGCAACUUGAGAACAAGACUAUGCUGGAGAAGAUGCAGAAUGAAUCCUCAGAGGCAACCCUUCUUGUAGCACGACUAAAAGAGAGGGAGGCAAAAGAUGAAGAUGAAGGAAAUUGAAAGACUCCAGGAGGAAAACCAUCAAUUAUGAGAGGAUUUGAAAUCCUAAAAUGACAAAGUUGAAGAGCAAGGUGAAGACACUGAGAAUCUGCAGAAGAAACUUGGAAAAAGUGUACAGGAGCUACAGCUUCGAGCUACAGAGGCCGUCAAGAGUAAGGAAGAUGCUGAAGUCAAAUGUCAGAACAAGACGCAGACAUGGUUGCCGUGACAGAAAGCACAAGGUUAAGUUCUCUGUUGGUAUCAGAACCACUAUGACAAAAUGGUUGAUGAGAAAGAUGCAGAGCUUGAUGAGAAGAAGAGGAAAGACAUGGAGGCAGCUGUUAAUAGAACAUCACUGAACAUGGAGAAUGGCCAUUUGAAGGAACAACUGGAGAAAGAAAUGAAGGAGAGGGAAAGCUGACUACAGGAGAUUACAGGCCUGGAAAAAGAGACGGCGUGUCAGAAAAUGAGCAGGCAACUGGAGACACAGGAUAAACAGGAAAUGGAAAGCGAAGCCCCAAGAACGCAAUCUUGGAGCUUUAUGACUACAGUUAGAGCAACAUCGCAAAUGAAGGUAUUGGAAUCGGUUGAUUAUUUUGUGUGUUUUAUUUAUAAUGUAGGCUAUUCCAUCAUCAAUGACCUGUAUGUUGUAUAAUCACUGUAGAAUUUAUUAGAUUAACUGGAGUGGUAUGUUUGUGUAAAAGGAAAGCAAAGCUCUCAAAACUCCAUCUUGGCGUUCCCCCAGUACAGCUGGUGCAACACCACGGAUUAAGGUGGGGAUAGAUUUUUUUAUGUGUAGUAUUCACUAACUGUUUUAUUUGUUGACCGUGACAUGUGUACCAUUCCCCCAGAGGAUUCUCUCCAUCCUAUUUCUCUGUGAUUGAGUGAUUUUUCUCCACAGUCUUACAGAAUCAGAACUCCUCCGUCCGCUGGGAAGUCUGUGCCCUGGGGGAAGAGCACACUGGAGCUUGACCCCAAGUCUGACAGCUCUGAACAUAAAGAUUUAUAUGAUCGAUCUAAUGAACACACUGCUUUAACUUUAAUAAUACUGAAAACAUUGGAUUGGCCUAAAACUCAGAAUGUAUUAUGAAAUACCACCCAAUUCCCAAUGACCACAAAUAAGUUUUAACUCAUGACUUUAUAAUGCAUGCUGUAUGGAAUGCACAUUUUCAUUGUGGGAAUAAUUUUUCUUUAAAUAUCACAUCUUUUAAGUUGGAUGUCUUUCUGGUUAUUAUAAUGGCAGAGCUUUGCAGUUGCAACUGAUCCAUUCAAAAGCCGCCUGCAGCCAAGUGUCCCAGCAGCACAGCAUCAAAAUGUGGACAUAUUGAGGAACGAAUGAGCCAGCUGAACUUACAUUACCACCAAAUACUUGAUUUACUUGGCAAUACUCCCUCUGCAUUAUGAAAUAAGUUGUGAAAUACCAUAUUGCAUUAUAGUAUAGUCUGUACUCGGCAACUUCUAAAAUAUAGUCUGUAACUUGUAAAAGUAGUUAAUGCAAUUUUUUUUACAAUUUUCAGGUCACUAUUAGCCACUUCCACUGGUUUGCUUCAGCUUCACUCCUGUUUUAUACUAUCGUAAUGUUUCAGAUCCAGAGCCCUGUUGUUCAGAAAUCACUUGGGAGUGCUUUAAAGCUCGCUGCAAUGAAAAGGAUGCAGGAUGCUGGUUGGACAGCUGUCGCUGGUGCUGACAAGGAGAAGAAAAACAUCAAGUGCUUUUCAAAAUUGAUCGUUUUUUGUGUGUGUGACAAAUGUGGACAUUCAAUAUGCUCUUUUCAUUACACCACUGCUCUCAAGUUCAUCCAUGUCUAUAGUUGUCUGAUGCUGGGAAAUCUGUUGACCGAAAUAGACAUUUAAAAUGCAAGUCAAAACAAUUUGAAAUGACCCAGGUAUAUUAUCUUGUUUUGAUGUUACUGUUUAGCCACAUUACUCACUUUAUUAAUGGAAAAAAUGGAAAAUGCUUGUUUUGAACAGACUUGCCACCUUUGACUCCAUUCAACAUAAAUAAGUUCAAGUGUUUGUUCAUAACAUUGUUGUUUUUGCUUGUGCUGUUUUUAUGUUCCUACAUAUGACAUUUGUCAACAUUGUGUUAUUUACAGUGGUGUAAAGUACUUAAGUAAAAAUACGUUAAAGUACUACUAAAGUAGUUUUUUGGUAUCUGUACUUUACUUCACUAUUUAUA